rnacentral:rRNA from 1 species
UCAGGAUGAACGCUAGCGACAGGCUUAACACAUGCAAGUCGAGGGCAGCAUAAAAGUAGCAAUACUUGGUGGCGACCGGCGCACGGGUGAGUAACGCGUAUGCAACCUACCUAUCAGAGGGGAAUAACCCGGCGAAAGUCGGACUAAUACCGCAUAAAACAGGGGCACCGCAUGGUGAUAUUUGUUAAAGAGAUUCGCUGAUAGAUGGGCAUGCGUUCCAUUAGGUAGCUGGUGAGGUAACGGCUCACCAAGCCGACGAUGGAUAGGGAACUGAGAGGUUGGUCCCCCACACUGGUACUGAGACACGGACCAGACUCCUACGGGAGGCAGCAGUGAGGAAUAUUGGUCAAUGGGCGGGAGCCUGAACCAGCCAAGUCGCGUGAAGGAAGAAGGAUCUAUGGUUCGUAAACUUCUUUGCAGGGGAAUAAAGUGCAGGACGUGUCCUGUUUUGUAUGUACCCUGAGAAUAAGGAUCGGCUAACUCCGUGCCAGCAGCAGC